GUUUAACUAGUAAGAUCCCUGGAAGACUACCAGGUUGAUAGGUCAGAGGUGUAAGUGCAGUAAUGCAUUAAGCUGACUGAUACUAAUAGAUCGAGGACUUGAUCAAA
rnacentral:rRNA from 1 species